GGUGAGAUGGCCGAGCGGUCUAAGGCGCCAGAUUAAGGUUCUGGUCUUUCGGGGCGUGGGUUCGAAUCCCACUCUCAUCA